rnacentral:rRNA from 1 species
UGUAAGCGUAUACCAAAGUUGUUGCAGUUAAAACGCUCGUAGUCGGAAUUUGGCAGUUCCGGAUGUAUGCACGUCGUGUGCGCACUUCGCGGGGAUUGCUUUUGUGGUCUUGCGUAGGAUGAGGCACUUUUAUUAGUGAACGUCCUCACGCAACCACUUUUUACUGUGAGAAAAUCAGAGUGCUCAAAGCAGGCAUUUGCCGUGAAUGUAUUAGCAUGGAAUAAUAGAAUAGGACUUGGUUCUAUUUUGUUGGUUUGUUGGGACUGAGUAAUGAUUAAGAGGGACAGUUGGGGGCAUUUGUAUUUCGGUGCUAGAGGUGAAAUUCUUAGAUUACCGAAAGACAAACUGCUGCGAAAGCGUCUGCCAAGGAUGUUUUCAUUGA